CGCGGGCUUCUUGCGAUUCAAUCCGCUCCGCGUACGGCGCCAGUUCGGGCGGGCAGACGGCGGCCGACGUCGCGGGGCCGAAGACAAAGUC